UCGAGCGGACCAAAGAAGAGCUUGCUCUUCGGCGGUUAGCGGCGGACGGGUGAGUAACACGUAGGCAACCUGCCUGUACGACUGGGAUAACUCCGGGAAACCGGAGCUAAUACCGGAUACGUUUUUCAGACCGCAUGGUCUGAAAGAGAAAGACCUUUGGUCACGUACAGAUGGGCCUGCGGCGCAUUAGCUAGUUGGUGGGGUAACGGCCUACCAAGGCGACGAUGCGUAGCCGACCUGAGAGGGUGAUCGGCCACACUGGGACUGAGACACGGCCCAGACUCCUACGGGAGGCAGCAGUAGGGAAUCUUCCGCAAUGGACGAAAGUCUGACGGAGCAACGCCGCGUGAACGAUGAAGGUUUUCGGAUCGUAAAGUUCUGUUGUUAGGGAAGAACCGCCGGGAUGACCUCCCGGUCUGACGGUACCUAACGAGAAAGCCCCGGCUAACUACGUGCCAGCAGCCGCGGUAAUACGUAGGGGGCAAGCGUUGUCCGGAAUUAUUGGGCGUAAAGCGCGCGCAGGCGGCUUCUUAAGUCAGGUGUGAAAGCCCACGGCUCAACCGUGGAGGGCCACUUGAAACUGGGAGGCUUGAGUGCAGGAGAGGAGAGCGGAAUUCCACGUGUAGCGGUGAAAUGCGUAGAGAUGUGGAGGAACACCCGUGGCGAAGGCGGCUCUCUGGCCUGUAACUGACGCUGAGGCGCGAAAGCGUGGGGAGCGAACAGGAUUAGAUACCCUGGUAGUCCACGCCGUAAACGUUGAGUGCUAGGUGUUGGGGACUCCAAUCCUCAGUGC
rnacentral:rRNA from 1 species